CGGGUGAGUAAUACAUCGGAACGUGUCUUCUAGUGGGGGAUAACUGCCCGAAAGGGCAGCUAAUACCGCAUGAGACCUGAGGGUGAAAGCGGGGGAUCGCAAGACCUCGCGCUGGAAGAGCGGCCGAUGUCCGACUAGCUAGUUGGUGAGGUAAAGGCUCACCAAGGCGACGAUCGGUAGCUGGUCUGAGAGGACGACCAGCCACACUGGGACUGAGACACGGCCCAG
rnacentral:rRNA from 1 species